ACGCUAGCUACAGGCUUAACACAUGCAAGUCGAGGGGCAUCAGGAAGAAAGCUUGCUUUCUUUGCUGGCGACCGGCGCACGGGUGAGUAACACGUAUCCAACCUGCCCUUUGCUCGGGGAUAGCCUUUCGAAAGAAAGAUUAAUACCCGAUGGCAUAAUGAUUCCGCAUGGUUUCAUUAUUAAAGGAUUCCGGUAAAGGAUGGGGAUGCGUUCCAUUAGGUUGUUGGUGAGGUAACGGCUCACCAAGCCUUCGAUGGAUAGGGGUUCUGAGAGGAAGGUCCCCCACAUUGGAACUGAGACACGGUCCAAACUCCUACGGGAGGCAGCAGUGAGGAAUAUUGGUCAAUGGGCGCUAGCCUGAACCAGCCAAGUAGCGUGAAGGAUGAAGGCUCUAUGGGUCGUAAACUUCUUUUAUAUAAGAAUAAAGUGCAGUAUGUAUACUGUUUUGUAUGUAUUAUAUGAAUAAGGAUCGGCUAACUCCGUGCCAGCAGCCGCGGUAAUACGGAGGAUCCGAGCGUUAUCCGGAUUUAUUGGGUUUAAAGGGAGCGUAGGUGGACUGGUAAGUCAGUUGUGAAAGUUUGCGGCUCAACCGUAAAAUUGCAGUUGAUACUGUCAGUCUUGAGUACAGUAGAGGUGGGCGGAAUUCGUGGUGUAGCGGUGAAAUGCUUAGAUAUCACGAAGAACUCCGAUUGCGAAGGCAGCUCACUGGACUGCAACUGACACUGAUGCUCGAAAGUGUGGGUAUCAAACAGGAUUAGAUACCCUGGUAGUCCACACAGUAAACGAUGAAUACUCGCUGUUUGCGAUAUACAGUAAGCGGCCAAGCGAAAGCAUUAAGUAUUCCACCUGGGGAGUACGCCGGCAACGGUGAAACUCAAAGGAAUUGACGGGGGCCCGCACAAGCGGAGGAACAUGUGGUUUAAUUCGAUGAUACGCGAGGAACCUUACCCGGGCUUAAAUUGCAGUGGAAUGAUGUGGAAACAUGUCAGUGAGCAAUCACCGCUGUGAAGGUGCUGCAUGGUUGUCGUCAGCUCGUGCCGUGAGGUGUCGGCUUAAGUGCCAUAACGAGCGCAACCCUUAUCUUUAGUUACUAACAGGUUAUGCUGAGGACUCUAGAGAGACUGCCGUCGUAAGAUGUGAGGAAGGUGGGGAUGACGUCAAAUCAGCACGGCCCUUACGUCCGGGGCUACACACGUGUUACAAUGGGGGGUACAGAAGGCAGCUAGCGGGUGACCGUAUGCUAAUCCCAAAAGCCUCUCUCAGUUCGGAUCGAAGUCUGCAACCCGACUUCGUGAAGCUGGAUUCGCUAGUAAUCGCGCAUCAGCCACGGCGCGGUGAAUACGUUCCCGGGCCUUGUACACACCGCCCGUCAAGCCAUGGGAGCCGGGGGUACCUGAAGUACGUAACCGCAAGGAUCGUCCUAGGGUAAAACUGGUGACUGG
rnacentral:rRNA from 1 species